GCUGGCUCAGUCAGAAGAGCAUGAGACUUGUGAUCUCAGGGUUGUGAGUUUGAGCCCCACUUUCAGUG
rnacentral:tRNA from 1 species